rnacentral:rRNA from 1 species
GCAGCUUGCUAGCUUCGCUGACGAGUGGCGGACGGGUGAGUAAUGUCUGGGAAACUGCCUGAUGGAGGGGGAUAACUACUGGAAACGGUAGCUAAUACCGCAUAACGUCGCAAGACCAAAGAGGGGGACCUUCGGGCCUCUUGCCAUCGGAUGUGCCCAGAUGGGAUUAGCUAGUAGGUGGGGUAACGGCUCACCUAGGCGACGAUCCCUAGCUGGUCUGAGAGGAUGACCAGCCACACUGGAACUGAGACACGGUCCAGACUCCUACGGGAGGCAGCAGUGGGGAAUAUUGCACAAUGGGCGCAAGCCUGAUGCAGCCAUGCCGCGUGUAUGAAGAAGGCCUUCGGGUUGUAAAGUACUUUCAGCGGGGAGGAAGGCGACAGGGUUAAUAACCCUGUCGAUUGACGUUACCCGCAGAAGAAGCACCGGCUAACUCCGUGCCAGCAGCCGCGGUAAUACGGAGGGUGCAAGCGUUAAUCGGAAUUACUGGGCGUAAAGCGCACGCAGGCGGUCUGUCAAGU